UACAGAGGGUGCGAGCGUUGUCCGGAAUCACUGGGCGUAAAGGGCGCGUAGGUGGCGACCCAAGUCGAUGGUGAAAGCUCGCCGCUCAACGGCGAGUCGGCCACUGAUACUGGGUUGCUGGAGCACUGUAGAGGCAGAUGGAAUUCCGGGUGUAGCGGUGGAAUGCGUAGAGAUCCGGAAGAACACCGGUGGCGAAGGCGGUCUGCUGGGCAGUUGCUGACACUGGAGGCGCGACAGCGUGGGGAGCAAACAGGG
rnacentral:rRNA from 1 species